rnacentral:rRNA from 1 species
ACGAACGCUGGCGGCGUGCUUAACACAUGCAAGUCGAGCGAGGUCCAUCCAGUAGCAACACUGGUGAAGACCUAGCGACGAACGGGUAAGUAACACGUAAAGAACCUGCCCCGAAGACCGAAAUAACCCUCCGAAAGGAGAGCUAAUACCGAAUACCCCCUCCAGACCGCAUGGUCAGGUGAGGAAAUGGAUUCCGCUUCGAAAAGAUCUCGCGACCUAUCAGCUUGUUGGUGAGGUAACGGCUCACCAAGGCGACGACAAGUAACUGGUCUGAGAAGACGAUCAGCCACACUAGGACUGAGACACGGCCCAGACUCCUACAAAAGGCAGCAAUAGAGAAUCUUGCGCACUGAGCGAAAGCCUGACGCAGCAACGCCGCGUAGAGGAUGAAAGCUCUCAGAUUAUAAACCCCUUUCAGCAGGGACGAUUAUGACGGUACCUGCAGAAGAAGGACCGACCAACUACGUGCCAGCCGCCGCAGUAACAC